GAUGAACGCUAGCGGCAGGCUUAAUACAUGCAAGUCGUGGGGCAGCAUGGGUAGCAAUACCUGAUGGCGACCGGCAAACGGGUGCGGAACACGUACGCAACCUUCCUUUAAGUGAGGAAUAGCCCAGGGAAACUUGGAUUAAUACCUCGUAACAUUAUGGAGUGGCAUCACUUUAUAAUUAUAGCUCAGGCGCUUAAAGAUGGGCUUGCGGCUGAUUAGGUAGUUGGCGGGGUAACGGCCCACCAAGCCUACGAUCAGUAACUGGUGUGAGAGCACGACCAGUCACACGGGCACUGAGACACGGGCCCGACUCCUACGGGAGGCAGCAGUAAGGAAUAUUGGUCAAUGGACGCAAGUCUGAACCAGCCAUGCCGCGUGGAGGAUGAAGGCCCUCUGGGUUGUAAACUUCUUUUA
rnacentral:rRNA from 1 species